UACCUACUCGGCGUGUCGUUCAGGUAGCACCCGGGUGACAGCGCCACCGGUCGGUGAUAACAGUGAAUCCGUAUAAUUCCCGGACUAGCCGGUAGGGAUCACGCCGGUCGCUGCUACCAACGCCGGUUGUGACGUAAUGUUUACCUCAUCCUCAGUGUUUGAUUCAGUGAGUGUUCGUGUUUGUGUGGAAGUGUAGAUAAAUUAGCUAAUGGAUGAGGCUACGGCGGAAUUCCUUCGGCACAAUAAUUUAGCCGCUUAUCUGGCAGCUUUCGAAGAGGCUGGCAUCUCUGCCUUAGAACUACGGCUUCUUGACAAAGAGACAGCAAAGGAACUCAUACCCAAGUUGGGGGAUCGGCUUCGUUUUUUAAAUGCUUUGGAAGGCUUCCAAAAUCCUGAUGGUCUUAUUAAUAAUUUAAUGUGUCUUGAUGAUUGGUCAACAGGGAAAAGAGCUGCUUAUGCUACUACUUCUCGCAGGAACGUGGAAAAAACAUUGGCAAUCAAACAUCAGCUACAGUUUUCCUGCAUGCUGUUUUCUAAAACACUGUUUGUUGAAGAACUGCAGCAUGGUCCUACUUUCCCUGAGCUUCUUGUGAAUCUCGAAUACCCUGGCAUUGAGGAAGAAUUUCAUACAAGAAAUUUAUCACCCUCAUUUUUAGUUACAUCUUGGAUCCAAUUCACCGGCACUGAGUAUAAACCCUCAAUGAUUCUUGUACAAAAUUUUUCUGAUGGAAACCCAAUUUUUUUUCAAAUUGUCAAAGUACUUCUUUUUCAGAAUGACUCUGUUUAUUUUAUUUGUUCAGAUAUUGAGACCAUUUCAUACCAACGCCAUUAUAGUGCCUAUCAUGUAAAAGAAGGUGCAGCAUUUAAAAUUAUAAGCUUAAAAAUUUACCUUAUCAUCUGCCUCUCACCCUUUCUCAAGUAGCCAAUGGUGAUCAUUACAUAGCCUUAAAUUAUAAAAUAUGAAAUGAACCACCAUUUUAGCAAACAUGUUUGAAUUUCCUUCAUUUUUUUGGCCUGAAACAAGACAUUUCAACUCAGCUUGACGUCAUUUCUCUCAACUCAGUUUGCAUUAUUGAUUUUUUUGUCCUGUGUAAUUUGUUUUUUUUUUUUAAAUGAAAUGUACUUAUCCUGUGGAAGGAUCCUUUCUCAAGGAAUACAAAGAUGCUAUUCAUUUAUAGAAAUUUCCAUUUUUAAACAACCAAUGAGCAUCUAGCACUUUGUGAAGUAAAUUAAAAUAAUUAUUCAGAAAAAAAUGGUAAGAGAAUUUUUUAGUUGAAUGAAGUGUUUUAUUUUUGUUAAGGUUUCAUUAUCUUGUCCUGUUGUUCAUUAAAGGAUUUCUAAAAUAUUUACCUCAGCUUUGUCCAAAUUCAAAAACCAACAAUCCAGCAACAUUACAUGCUUUCCUCUUUCAAAGCUUCUAUGGAUCCUUUUAGUUGUGUAUUAUCAAACUGCAUGACAGCUCAAUAGAAGCUAUUGAUGUGUCAAUCAAUGGCAUUCACAGUGGCCUUCGGUUUUAUCCAAGAGUAAUUUAGUACAUAUUGAUUAAAAGAAAGGGAGAGGGGAAUUCUGUUCUUUCGUUUAACAGGUUCACUUGGUCCUAGAAAGCAAUUAUGGGAUGGCGUAAUCACUUAAAGAGUCCAUAGUGUAAUAUUUAAAAACAGAAAAUGGUUCUUAACCACUAGUACUAUGAAAACAAGAGAAAAAAAUACUUUUUGUUGCUAAUUUGUAAAUUUAUUGCUCUUUGUAGACAAAUAUAAUUUGAACAUAAACACAAUGAACAGCAUUAAGGAGAAGCAGAAAAAGGAAGCCACGUAAAUUCCUGUUUAAUUUGCACUGAAUUGUAGGAAUCUGAAUCAAAUGUAUACAUUGUAUCCAAUAAUAUUGUACCAACAGGGACGGAUUCCUCCAACAACAUUUCUUGAUGUACCAUUUCGCCUAGGAUAGCUAAAAAAAUAAAUCACCUUAACAUGGUAAAAAUAUACCUAAGCAAGGAAACGUUUCGGCCAUGCCAAUGGCCUUCACCAGUGCAAAGAAUGUACACUCUUUGCACUGAUGAAGGUCAUUGUCAUGACCGAAACGUUUGGUUGCUUAUUUUCACCAUUUUAAGGUAAUUUUUUAAAACAUAAACAUCCUCUUGCAGAUUUUUUUUUAUUAAAGCAUGGCCUGAGUCCGCAUAUUAUUAUGGAGAAAAUCGGCUACUAGCUCAGUAUUUGUUUUCACUAUGAGUAGUCGGAAACCCAAUAAUUUUAAAAUCAAUCACAUAGACAAAAUUUCUGUAUACAGCAAGCUUUUCAAGGUUAACUGUAAUCCCUUGAAAAUCAUCAAAAUUAUGUAUAUGUUGCAGGCAAAUAGUAAAAUAUUCCUACCUAGAGUGAAAUUGUAAUUAUUUUGCUGACUGUAGACAAAAUAAUUUUUUGACCAUGUGGGAAAGAAUUCUCUUCAAAUACUUGCUGCGUACGAUCAAAAAUACAUCUUUCCUAGUCCUUGAAUGCCAAUUCAUCCUAAAAUGUGCAACAUUUUGUUAAAUAAAAAGGUUUCAAAAUUUGGACGGUUGAAGAAAUACAAGGAUCAUUUUGAACGGGAAAUACAAUGACUGUCAGUACUUUGACGGAUUUUUAGUCUCCAAAUAAUGACAAUUUGAGAGGUCUUUGUGAAGAAAUAAAGAACGCCAUAAACUCUGAAAAUCUGAGUGUCUGCUUAGGCAUUUGAUAAAAUGCCUGAUUUGACUAUUUGCCUGCAACAAAAAAAAAAAAAAUAAGGUGGAGUCCUUACCUAGAAGGGAGAAGAUUAUUCACGCCACUCUUUGUCGUGCUAAGGAAAACCGCCGUUUAAGCCUUUGGACGCAGCCAAGUCUCCUCCGAUAAGAACAAAUUUUUUAGGAAACUCGUGGAUACUUUUCUCUCAAUUUUUCAGAGAACUUCAUUUGCAAUUUAAUCUGAAGCACUAUCUGAAACUUUGAAGGGAAUAUAUUCAUAAGUUCUCUUAAAGUUAAAUAUUAUAUGGAGCAGGAAAUUAGGCAACGCCCGAAUGUCCAUACGGCUUUCUUCCUUAGCACAGUAGUGCCGCUCAAUGUUCAAAGGGUCUAUGGAACGGUGCCGUGGGCACCCUGCCGGACCCGGGUUAGUGCUCUCCCACGUCUAGCGGGCAUCCCGCUGUACCCAGUGGGUAUCCUACCGUGUCCGGUGGGUAUCCUACCGUGUCCGCUGGGUAUCCUACCGUGUCCGCUGGGUAUCCUACCGUGUCCGCUGGGUAUCCCACCGUGCGUCCGGGCGCGUAUCCUACCGGCGUCAUGGGAGAGACACCGACCGACCGGUAGGAAAUUCACCCAACGCGCCACCUAACCAUAUUUUGCCAUUCGUGCGGUAGGAAAAUCACCGGACGUCUGGUGAGUUCCGAACCGGUUUUUUUUUCCGUGUAAACAUAGCCUCAAAAGUCAGUUCAGAAAUCUGAGGGGACGGGUCUUUUGAAAUAGAUUUUUAUUCUUUGAGUACCAAAUGCCAAUGCAAAGUGAAAUUGUGAGGAAUUUUCUCAUUUUCAGCUUUUCCGACUAUAAGGCUAAUGGUUUUGUUUGAGGUUAUGUUCUGUUGUUUUGAACCUAACGAUACAUCGAACCACUAUCGAAUACGGUCUAUAAAAGAAAAGGAUCGGUUAAUUUUUUUAUCAUCACUAAAGCAUACUUCCGUUUCCUUUAGUGGAACUAACAACUAAAAAAAAAAAAAAAAAAAAAAAAGGGUUCCCUAUCAAAUUUUUAACGAGUAUAAAAAUCCCUUUGUGAU
rnacentral:lncRNA from 1 species